rnacentral:lncRNA from 1 species
UUGGGGCAUUUAGCCUGCUUACAUUCAAGGACUCAGUGACCUUUGAGGAUGUGGCUGUGAACUUCACCCAGGAGGAGUGGGCUUUGCUGGGUCCUUCCCAGAAGAAUCUCUACAGAGAUGUGAUGUGGGAAACCUUCAGGAACCUGAUGUCUGUAGAAGUCAUAUGGUAGAGAGAGUCUGAAGGUAAGGAAGAUGGUCAAUGUGAAGAGAUCUUCAGCCUUGUUCCAAAUGGUAUAGUGAAGACGACUUUUACUGGAGUCAAAUCAUGUGAAAGCAGUGUGUGUGAAGAAGGCAAUAUGGAUCAUUCAUCUCUUAAUUGCUGCAUCAGAGCUGACACUGGACACAAAUCAGAUGAGUGUCAGCAACAUAGAAGCCACAUAAGCAGUGUGUGAAAACCUUCAGCUAUUGCCACUCCUUUCAAACACAUGAAAGGCCUCACACUGGAAAGAAACUCCAUGUAAGAAAUGUGGAAAAACCUUCAUUUCUGUUCAAACCUUUUGAAGAUACAUGGUAAUGCACAGUGAAGAUGAACCUUAUAAAUGUAAGUUUUGUGGGAAGGCCUUUGAUAAUCUACAUUUAUAUCUUACACAUGAAAGAACUCACACUGGAGAGAAACCCUAUGAAUGUAAUAAAUGUGGGAAAGCCUUCAGUUGUUCCAGUUCCAUUCGAAAACAUGCAAGAAUUCACACUGGAGAGAAACCCUAUAUAUGUAAACAAUGUGGCAAAGCCUUUAGAUAUUCCAGUUCUAUUCGAAAUCAUGAAAACACUCACACUGGUGAAAAACCCUGUGAAUGUAAGCAAUGUGGGAAAGCCUUUAGUUAUUCCAGUUACUUUCGAAUACAUGAAAGAAUUCACACUGGAGAGCAGGUGUAUAAAUGUAAGGAAUGUGGGAAAACAUUCACUUAUCCCAGUGCCUUUCAUAAACAUAAAAGUACCCACACUUCACAGAAACUUUAUGAAUGUAAGGAAUGUGGGAAAGCAUUUGAUUGUUUUAGUUCCUUUCAUAGUCAUGAAGGGGUUCACACUGGAGAGAAACCCUAUGAAUGCAGAACGUGGAAAAGCCUUCAGUAGUUCUAAGUACUUAAAAAUACAUGGAAGAACUCACACUGGAGAGAAGUCCUAUGCAGUAAAGAAUGAGGGAAAGUAUUUUAUUGUCUCAGUCCCCUUCAAAGACAUGAAAGGACUCACAUCAGAGAAAAGUUGUAUGAAUGUAAAAAAUGUGAUAAAGCCUUCCAUUCGUCCAGUACUGUUAGAAACCAUGAAAGAAGUCACAUUUAAGAAAAACACAGUGAUGUUAGGAAUAUGGGGAACCUUUCCUUUCUCUUCCAGUCUUUGGAAGGCACAGGGUAUGACACACUGGUGACCUUAUAACUGUAAGGAGUGUGGAUAAGUAUUUAUUAGUCCUUGUGUGUUUUAGAUACAUGAAAGAAUUUACUCAAAAGGAAACUCUAUGAAUGUAAAGAAUGUGGUAAAACCUGUGUAGUUUCAGUUUCUCUUGAAUAAAGUCAUUUCCUGGUAUUCUCAGGGGAUUGGUUCCAGC